rnacentral:rRNA from 1 species
CAGCCAUGCCGCGUGAGUGAAGAAGGCCUUCGGGUUGUAAAGCUCUUUCGGCCGGGAAGAAAUCGCACAGGCUAAUACCCUGUGUGGAUGACGGUACCGGAAUAAGAAGCACCGGCUAACUACGUGCCAGCAGCCGCGGUAAUACGUAGGGUGCGAGCGUUAAUCGGAAUUACUGGGCGUAAAGCGUGCGCAGGCGGUUUAGUAAGACAGGCGUGAAAUCCCCGGGCUCAACCUGGGAACUGCGCUUGUGACUGCUAAGCUAGAGUACGGCAGAGGGGGGUGGAAUUCCACGUGUAGCAGUGAAAUGCGUAGAGAUGUGGAGGAACACCGAUGGCGAAGGCAGCCCCCUGGGCCGAUACUGACGCUCAUGCACGAAAGCGUGGGUAGCAAACAGGAUUAGAUACCCUGGUAGUCCACGCCCUAAACGAUGUCAACUAGGUGUUGGGAGGGUAAAACCUUUUAGUACCGGAGCUAACGCGUGAAGUUGACCGCCUGGGGAGUACGGCCGCAAGGUUAAAACUCAAAGGAAUUGACGGGG